rnacentral:rRNA from 1 species
UACAGAGGUCUCUAGCGUUGCUCGGAAUCACUGGGCGUAAAGGGUGCGUAGGCGGGUUUUUAUGUCAGGGGUGAAAUCCUGGAGCUCAACUCCAGAACUGCCUUUGAUACUGAAGAUCUUGAGUCCGGGAGAGGUGAGUGGAACUGCGAGUGUAGAGGUGAAAUUCGUAGAUAUUCGCAAGAACACCAGUGGCGAAGGCGGCUCACUGGCCCGGUACUGACGCUGAGGCACGAAAACGUGGGGAGCAAACAGG